UGAGUUUCUGCCAUCUUAGUUGAAAACGAAUCUUGUGGGGAACAUUUUCACCCCUCCUUUUUUCAAUAAACCCUCCAAGCUGUGAAGACUUUCCAGAAAUCGGGCAUCCCCGUCCUCAAUUUUUAGACAUCCCAGGAAUCCCGAGAUAAUUUUAGAUACUCCUGAUACAUGUUUUGUAUUUUUUCCAAUUCUUGCCCAUCUAGCUGCCUAUAUAAAGGAGGGCUUCC
rnacentral:lncRNA from 1 species